AGCGUAUAUUAAAGUUGUUGCAGUUAAAAAGCUCGUAGUUGAAUUUCGGGAUUAGUACGUUGGUCGUGCCUUCGGUACGUACUGGUGUUACUGAUUCCUACCUUCUGACGAACCAUCAUGUCAUUAAUUUGGUGUGGUGGGGAAUCAGGACUGUUACUUUGAAAAAAUUAGAGUGUUUAAAGCAGGCUCGCGCUUGAAUACAUUAGCAUGGAAUAAUGAAAUAGGACGUUGAUCCUAUUUUGUUGGUUUCUAGGAUUGACGUAAUGAUUAAUAGGGAUAGUUGGGGGCAUUAGUAUUCAAUUGUCAGAGGUGAAAUUCUUGGAUUUAUUGAAGACUAACUACUGCGAAAGCAUUUGCCAAGGAUGUUUUCAUUAAUCAAGAACGAAAGUUAGGGGAUCGAAGACGAUCAGAUACCGUCGUAGUCUUAACCAUAAACUAUGCCGACUAGGGAACGGAUGAUGUUAUUUUUAAUGACUCAUUC
rnacentral:rRNA from 1 species